rnacentral:rRNA from 1 species
UGGGGAAUAUUGGACAAUGGGGGCAACCCUGAUCCAGCAAUGCCGCGUGUGUGAAGAAGGUCUUCGGAUUGUAAAGCACUUUCGACGGGGACGAUGAUGACGGUACCCGUAGAAGAAGCCCCGGCUAACUUCGUGCCAGCAGCCGCGGUAAUACGAAGGGGGCUAGCGUUGCUCGGAAUGACUGGGCGUAAAGGGCGUGUAGGCGGUUUACACAGUCAGAUGUGAAAUCCCCGGGCUUAA